GCCUGGGUGGCUCAGUCGGUUAAGCGUCUGGCUUUGGCUCAGGUCAUGAUCUCGUGGCUUGUGGAUUCAAACCCCACAUCAGGCU
rnacentral:tRNA from 1 species